UUGCCAGACUCCUACGGGAGGCAGCAGUGAGGAAUAUUGGUCAAUGGUCGGGAGACUGAACCAGCCAAGCCGCGUGAGGGAUGAAGGUACAGAGUAUCGUAAACCUCUUUUGUCGGGGAGCAAAAGCCGGACGUGUCCGGCUGUGAGAGUACCCGAAGAAAAAGCAUCGGCUAACUCCGUGCCAGCAGCCGCGGUAAUACGGAGGAUGCGAGCGUUAUCCGGAUUUAUUGGGUUUAAAGGGUGCGCAGGCGGAUUUUUAAGUCAGCGGUCAAAUCGUGGGGCUCAACCCCAUCCAGCCGUUGAAACUGGGGAUCUAGAGUGUGCGAGAGGUAUGCGGAAUGCGUGGUGUAGCGGUGAAAUGCAUAGAUAUCACGCAGAACCCCGAUUGCGAAGGCAGCAUACCGGUGCACAACUGACGCUCAGGCACGAAAGCGUGGGUAUCGAACAGGAUUAGAUACCCCCGUAACG
rnacentral:rRNA from 1 species